rnacentral:misc_RNA from 1 species
UGCCCCAACAGUUUUCUUAACAUUCCAGAACAUAAAGCACCUGCCCCUCUCGUCCGUAUCUUCAGCAGUAGCACCAAAGUAAUCAAUAGAAUCAUCCCAAAAUACUUCAGGAAACUCCAAGACAACUUUAUUAAGGACACCAAAACCAAGCCUUUGGAUAGAUAAAUCUUUCCACUGGGGUAAGGGUGGUGAAAAUUUAAUUGUUUCCGCCUUAAGACACCCUAAUGGAACUGUUAUAAGCACUGCAUCUCCAGAAAACUCUCGUCCAUUUGUCGUGGAGACUUUUACCUUGUUAAACAAAUCAUUAUUUGAAAGAACAUCUUUUUUGCAAUAUGAAAUAUCAGUAACAAUGUGGUUCAAGUGAACGCAAAG